GGUGCUUGCACCUGGUGGCGAGUGGCGAACGGGUGAGUAAUACAUCGGAACAUGUCCUGUAGUGGGGGAUAGCCCGGCGAAAGCCGGAUUAAUACCGCAUACGAUCUACGGAUGAAAGCGGGGGACCUUCGGGCCUCGCGCUAUAGGGUUGGCCGAUGGCUGAUUAGCUAGUUGGUGGGGUAAAGGCCUACCAAGGCGACGAUCAGUAGCUGGUCUGAGAGGACGACCAGCCACACUGGGACUGAGACACGGCCCAGACUCCUACGGGAGGCAGCAGUGGGGAAUUUUGGACAAUGGGCGAAAGCCUGAUCCAGCAAUGCCGCGUGUGUGAAGAAGGCCUUCGGGUUGUAAAGCACUUUUGUCCGGAAAGAAAUCCUUGGCUCUAAUACAGUCGGGGGAUGACGGUACCGGAAGAAUAAGCACCGGCUAACUACGUGCCAGCAGCCGCGGUAAUACGUAGGGUGCGAGCGUUAAUCGGAAUUACUGGGUGUAAAGCGUGCGCAGGCGGUUUGCUAAGACCGAUGUGAAAUCCCCGGGCUCAACCUGGGAACUGCAUUGGUGACUGGCAGGCUAGAGUAUGGCAGAGGGGGGUAGAAUUCCACGUGUAGCAGUGAACUGCGUAUAGAUGU
rnacentral:rRNA from 1 species